AUAACAUGGUAGGAAGGACUGUUUGACAAAGUGAAUGCCUGUCUUUCAGAAAAUACAGGGAGGUGUGAUGUACCCAUUAUCACAAGCAGAUGGAAUGCCUAUAGAGUCGGAUCUCAUCUACAUAUCACCUAUUAUAUGUAGUUAUUGAUGGAUAAAUACUUCAACAGCUAAAGGCAGAAAGAGAGCAGUUCACACAGACGUUAUUGGUGAUUCACUCUUGAGUCAUGAAAAGUCAACCUUGAGCCACAGAAAGUCAACCUUGAGCCAUGCAGAGUGGAGAGUCAUACAUGCCAUUCCUGGGACCAUCAAAAAUGGCAGAGGUCACACAAAAGGCAAAACUUUUAAGAGGUGUUUUAAACGUCGUAUGGGCCAAAGAGAAGCUGGAUUUCCUAUUGGAGUCAGCUGUAACACACGUGUGAUGAAAUUGGCCUGUGAGGACAAGGCAGUGAGCAGAGAGGACAGCAGUCCUUACGAGAUCAAGCUCUAAGGUGAGGUUGCAGGAUCUGAAGGCCAGC
rnacentral:lncRNA from 1 species